GACGAACGCUGGCGGCGUGCCUAAUACAUGCAAGUCGAGCGAAUGGAAGGGAGCUUGCUCCCUGAAGUUAGCGGCGGACGGGUGAGUAACACGUGGGCAACCUGCCUGUAAGACUGGGAUAACUUCGGGAAACCGGAGCUAAUACCGGAUACGUUCUUUUCUCGCAUGAGGAAAGAUGGAAAGAUGGUUUCGGCUAUCACUCACAGAUGGGCCCGCGGCGGGUUAGCUAGUUGGUGGGGUAAUGGCCCACCAAGGCGACGAUGCGUAGCCGACCUGGGAGGUUGAUCGGCCGCGUUGGGACUGAGACACGGCCCAGACUCCUACGGGAGGCGGCAGUAGGGAAGCUUCCGCAAUGGAGGAAAGUCUGACGGAGCAACGCCGCGUGAGCGAAGAAGGCUUUCGGGUCGUAAAGCUCUGUUGUCAGGGAAGAACAAGUGCCAGAGUAGCUGCUGGCACCUUGACGGUACCUGACCAGAAAGCCACGGCUAACUACGUGCCAGCCGCCGCAGUAAGAC
rnacentral:rRNA from 1 species